rnacentral:rRNA from 1 species
GACGUAGGAGGCGAGCGUUGUCCGGAUUCAUUGGGCGUAAAGAGCGCGCAGGCGGCUUGGUAAGUCGGAUGUGAAAUCCCGAGGCUCAACCUCGGGUCUGCAUCCGAUACUGCCCGGCUAGAGGUAGGUAGGGGAGAUCGGAAUUCCUGGUGUAGCGGUGAAAUGCGCAGAUAUCAGGAGGAACACCGGUGGCGAAGGCGGAUCUCUGGGCCUUACCUGACGCUCAGGCGCGAAAGCUAGGGGAGCGAACGGG